rnacentral:misc_RNA from 1 species
CGCGCCAGCUUCGUCUCGGAAGAGAUCAUUUUGCGCGCCAGACAAACAGGCUGGAGACGCCGUAGUUCCAGACCACGCCCAUUAAUGCCCCUGCCGCGCCCGCCAGCCACCAGAUCGGUUCCUGAUCGAAUACGGUCGCGGCGACGCCUACGUUCGCCAGCAACCCGACGCUGCACACGAGAUAGAACAGCAGGAGACCGCGAAUGAGCGCUCCGCCCUUCAGCCGCUGGUCACGAUAAGUGAGCUGGUUGUUGAGCAGAAAAUUUCCGGUCAUCGCGACAAAGGCCG